rnacentral:rRNA from 1 species
UCCUUCUAUGCGAUACUUGGAGUGAAUAGCAGAAUUGAGUGAAUCCGACUCGAAUCUUUGAACGCACCAUUGCGCUGCUUGGUGUUCCGAGGAGCAUGCCUGUUUGAGUGUCAUGUAAUUCUCAACCUUUGUUACUUUUUUUGUUUCAAAGUGUGUGGAAGUGGAGGUUGGUGGGUUUUGUUUAAAGAGUCGGCUCCUCUGCCGAUUCUUUCAGUGGGACCGAUCGUUGAUUAGCUUCCCUGCUGUGUGAUAGUUAUAUACACCGUGGCUCAUCACGAUAUUGUGUGGUUCAGCUUUCUAAUGCAGACACCAACAACUGUCUUUGAUUGGUUUGACCUCUCAUACAAGUAGGACGUACCCACUCAACUUACCCAUCUCAAUAACCGGAGGAAGGAA